rnacentral:pre_miRNA from 1 species
AAAAAGACAAACCCUAGAUUUUUGUGUCCAACAUUUGACUAUCCGUCUUAUAUAAAUUUUUUUAUAAUUAGUAUUUUCAUUGUUGUUAGAUGAUAAAACAUGAUUAAUAUUUUAUGCGUGACUUAUCUUUUUAAUUUUUUCAUAUUUUUUUUAAAUGAGACGGAUUGUCAAACAUUGGACACGGAAACAGAUGAUUUGUCUUUUU